rnacentral:lncRNA from 1 species
GCGCGGCGGCACGCCACGCCACAUGAAUUGGUAAGCUAUUUGUUAUUUUUGUAAUUUUUGAUAAGUCAUCGCAAGAUUUGAUUUGUUGCAAAGUAGUCCAUACAAGGAAAGGGUAGCCUCGCCUAUCCCUCAAGAAAAAUGACCAUGUUGAAUGGCAAGCAUUCUGCAUGGCUUGCUUGGUGGAUUUUUUUAGUGCUUUUCAUGUUAACACUGAUCUGCAAUACUACAUAGAUGAAUAGUCAAUUAGCCUGUCCCAAAAAGCGAAAGAAACUAUGUAGGUUGGUUUGCCGCAGAGGAAACAUUAAACAGUUGAUUGAUAUAAAUAGUUAGAACCUCAAACUAUGAUCAUGUUUCAUUAAUUUUUAUAUUUCCAACAUUUUUGCACUGAAGCAGACACAACACUAUUUUACAACGCUUUUUAUUCUUUAUCUUCGAAAAGGCAGACGUUUGUGAAUCUGAAUCUGAAAAAUAAAUUGGGUAUUGUUUACAUUGUCGUUGCCAUUGCAAUUGUCUUCUGCUACGCAGCAAGAAAGUAGCCUCUUGCCCUUUCAAUUUAUGGUAUUGAUGUCCUGUGGUUUUUUUUAUCUCUCACCAAUCCACCAAUGGUCACACACAUCCACUACUGCCCAUAGCUGCUGGGAAAACCAAACCUGAGAAAUGUAAUUUCCUGAUGAAGAGAACAGACUCAAGUGCACCUGAAUGCAUUACUUAUGUAGUCAGGGUUUGGUUGAUACAAAUUAUGAAUACAUUGGUUGGUACAUAAGUACAUAUAAUGGUUCAGUAAUGUGGGGAUAGGGUAAAAGACAAUACCAUCUCGCAAUAAUUUGGUUGAUUGGUCUCCCAUGAUGGUAAAAUAUUCAGAAACCAUGAAUUAUUGGUUCACACUUCACAGAAAGCCUGAUCUCUCCAUGAUAAAUGUAAACUUCUCCCAAGAAAACGUGAUUUGAGAGCACAUCAAAAGAUAUACAUAUACGUUGUGCAGAACCAAAUUUUGUUUCUAGAAAACUAAAACCAUGAGUGACAAAUUGGAAAACUCACUGUAGCUAAGAAAAUGACCAGGAAUUUGAUUUCCCCUUAUAGGCAUUAACACAAACAACUACCGAGCAUGAAAAAAGAAGGAAGUACAAUCACGAACCAAAGAAGCACAUCAGGAAAAGAGGGAAAUCAGAGAGAAGAGGCAGACUUGCGUCUCACGGGCUGGCGAGAAGAAGGUGGACUGCCGGAGCUUUGCCCGCUCAAACUGCAUGAUGUGCGCGCACGCGCAACAGCUCCAGGUUAACACAACCUCAUAGUGGAGCCACGGGGCGUGUCGAUCCCAUGGCCGGCGGCGACUACAGGGUAGCAGCUGGCCGCAGCACUCUGAGGCGUUGUCGUCCCUCCAAUCGCGCCGUCCUGGUCUUGUCUUCAUGGCCGAGCGCGCAUCCUCGUUAGGUGUCACGUUGCCGCUAGCUAGUAUACGCACAUCAGAGGGGCACUAAAGAAAUCAGGAAGAUUUAUCAAUUGGAUAACACCAUCCAGUGUAAGACUAUCACCUAGCUAGUACACACACAUCUAGCCCACACACCACAGGCAACAUCACAUAAGCCGUGCAAGCACGUGACGAAUCAACAACCCGAGCAAGCAGGAAGCAAGGGGUAGGAGGACUCACGACCAAAAGAGUGAGAAGACACAGCCGUUGUCCGCUCACCGUCAUGCAGUUCAUGUCGAGGCGGAUCGACAGGAAGAUUCAGCGACUCCUUGCGAGGGCUUGCGUGCUGACCGACCCCAGAUGAUGGGACGUGGACAACGCGGCGGCUGCGACCUCGAGGCAAGGACGGGGCGGGCAUGCCGCUGCAGCCCAAGUUCCACAUCCGACAGAAAUAGCCUCCGCACUCCUGCAUGCCCCAUCACCCCCUGUGACCUAGCACAGGUGAAGGAGAGGGGAGGUGGCCGGGGAUGGGAUUGCGGCGGAAGGAGACGGCGGGGUGCAGCGUUGUUUGUGAGAGAGGAGGUGGCCGGGGACGGGAUUGCGGCGGAAGGAGACGGCGGGGUGCAGCUUUGUUUGUUCACAAAAAAGGGUAGCAUCAACUAUAUAUAGGAAGAGGCAGUCAG